GAUGAACGCUGGCGGCGUGCUUAACACAUGCAAGUCGAACGAAGCAUUUAGAACAGAUUACUUCGGUUUGAAGUUCUUUAUGACUGAGUGGCGGACGGGUGAGUAACGCGUGGGUAACCUGCCUUGUACUGGGGGAUAGCAGCUGGAAACGGCUGGUAAUACCGCAUAAGCGUACAAUGUUGCAUGACAUGGUGUGAAAAACUCCGGUGGUAUAAGAUGGACCCGCGUCUGAUUAGCUAGUUGGUGAGAUAACAGCCCACCAAGGCGACGAUCAGUAGCCGACCUGAGAGGGUGACCGGCCACAUUGGGACUGAGACACGGCCCAGACUCCUACGGGAGGCAGCAGUGGGGAAUAUUGCACAAUGGAGGAAACUCUGAUGCAGCGACGCCGCGUGAGUGAAGAAGUAAUUCGUUAUGUAAAGCUCUAUCAGCAGGGAAGAUAGUGACGGUACCUGACGAAGAAGCUCCGGCUAAAUACGUG
rnacentral:rRNA from 1 species